rnacentral:rRNA from 1 species
CGCCUUUUGUAAUAUACAUAUAAAAGGUCCUGCCUGCCCAAUGACUUAUUUUAAUGGCCGCGGUAUUAUGACCGUGCAAAGGUAGCGUAAUCAUUUGUCUCCUAAAUAGAGACCGGUAUGAAUGGCAAGACGAAAGCCUUACUGUCUCUCUAGACUAGUCAAUGAAAUUGAUCUCCCCGUGCAGAAGCGGGGAUAAAUAUAUAAGACGAGAAGACCCUGUGGAGCUUCAAACUCUAACUAACAGACCAUAAAUGUUCUAGCACUAAAGCUUUAGGUUGGGGCGACCAUGAGGCACAGUUUAACCCUCACGUAUAUAACAAGAAGGACACUUCAAACAACUAAUAUAGUAUAUGACCCAAUAAUUGAUCAACGAACCAAGUUACCCCAGGGAUAACAGCGCAAUCUACUCAAAGAGUCCCUAUCGACGAGCAGGUUUACGACCUCGAUGUUGGAUCAGGACCCCCAAAUAAUGCAACAGCUAUUAAAGGUUCGUUUGUUCAACGAUUAAAGUCCU